rnacentral:rRNA from 1 species
UCCAGACUCCUACGGGAGGCAGCAGUGGGGAAUAUUGGGCAAUGGGCGCAAGCCUGACCCAGCGACGCCGCGUGAGGGAAGACGGUCUUCGGAUUGUAAACCUCUUUCAGCAGGGAAGACAAAAGGACGGUACCUGCAGAAGAAGCCACGGCUAACUACGUGCCAGCAGCCGCGGUAAUACGUAGGGAGCAAGCGUUGUCCGGAAUUACUGGGCGUAAAGGGCGCGUAGGUGGGCGCUUAAGUCAGGUGUGAAAACUCCGGGCUCAACCUGGAGACUGCACUUGAAACUGGGUGUCUUGAGGGCAGGAGAGGAAAGUGGAAUUCCUAGUGUAGCGGUGAAAUGCGUAGAUAUUAGGAGGAACACCAGUGGCGAAGGCGACUUUCUGGACUGUACCUGACGCUGAGGCGCGAAAGCGUGGGUAGCGAGCGGGAUUAGAUACCCGUGUA